GUUUGCGCCGGAAGUCCCGCUUCAUGGCCACGAGGGUCCGCGGGCCGAUGGAGCACUGCACCGAGGCGUCCCUCUUCGGGUUCACCUGCACCGCCACAUCUUUAGUGUUCGCCUUCCUGAGCCUCGGGCUCACAGAAUACGAUGGUCAGAGUGAAACUCCCGUACAUCAGGGGAGGAAACAGAGUGCCCAGAGAAAAUAAAUGCACUGACGUCACAAAGCUGAGGUUGGAGUGGGACGGGACAGUUUGCACCAGUCAGUGACUCAGGGUUUCAUCUGUCUCCUCCCCCUCCUGGAGACUCACCGUGUCCCCCAUUAACCAACGGGUGACUGUAGGUACGUAAUGCCACAGCUGUCUGUGUGCAGAAUACAUAAACUGUCACCUUCCCCUUAAAAGCUGUGAAGUGUACAGACACUUUUUGAUGCUCUCACUAUAAAUAAACUGAAGUUGGCAAUUCUUU